CACAUACAGAGUAACAUAGACCAAAGUUGUACAUCAAAAAUAUACAAUGUGCACGUAACUAACAGCGAAGCUCUAGUGCAUCGUGCUCGCGGAAGUCGUGAGAUCACGCACGCUGCGCAAGAAUUUUAUUUGAACUUCGAGAAGAGGAAGACAUUAGUAGACAAAGUGGAAGACAUUAAAAUAGGAAUGUGUAUAUGGCAAUCUUUCAAAAAAGCUUGAAAGGGAUGUACUUUUUCUGAUAACAGUAAAAAAUAUGUGGUUCCUCUAUUUGAUCAAAAAUUACGAUCUCGCUGCAAGACGAACGAAGACCUACGAAUCAAGAUGCAAUACAGUUUCUGGAAGUUUACAGCUAGACUAUUUAAUUGUAAUCCAAGGAGAUGAAAUGAUGAAAUACUAGGCAGAAAGAUACGAUCCGAAUGACAUUUCCUUCCGCGUGCGAGCAAAAUGCGAGCUCAUACGGGCUUUCGUAUGCAUAAAUCAGCGUUAAAAUGAAGUCAAGGCAUUUAAUUAUUAUCUGUAGAAUAAACCGUUCUACCCCAAAUAUCGUUGAAUUUGUUAAAUCCAGCCUGAUGACCGUUGCUACGACACCGUAGUUAUUUGUACUUGGAUUAAAGAUCAAAAUACUUUAUCAGUUA